AUCUUCAAAUUACUUCACACUCCUCUUCUCUUUGCAAAUGAAACGAGAUCCCCAAAACAAAAAUCAAGGCCAAACCCUAGGUGAACCCGGCAAAUUUUUCCCCAAAAAUUUGACCCACCGCGAUUUGCACACACUUCUUCUUCUCCAGAUAUGGCUGCGGCUUAGCAUUUCUUCCAUAUUCUUACCUCAUCUUGGUAGGGCAGAUAGCAAUGGAGAUAGAAAAAUCACGAGAGAUGAAGUGCAAGAGAGAGAGAGGAACAAAAUGGUAAAACUGCUACGAAAUUGACCAAAUCUUUGAUCGAUCCGUUGAGCAGAAGAAAAAAGAAAUCGCGUGAAUCAUAUAAGAAGUGAAGAAGAAGCAGAAGAAGGGAAAGAAAAGGAUGAUGCCUACCUCAUCAUCGACAAAAGGGCGCUCGGGUUCUCAUGCCCGACCCAAUUCUUUCCUCCCUCAGUACUUCUGCAGAAUAGUCAAGGUUAAUUUUCCUACUCACACGUAUAGAUCUGAUGGUGAUCCUACUUGUAAAAUUUUUCGAAGAUGUCGCACAAUUCGCAUAUCACUGCAUUAAUCAACACGUUUGAACUUAUUCAAUUGGCUAUGAAAGACGAAUUGUGUCUGGAUUAGGAUUUAUGUUGUUUAUUAUUAUUUAUUUUGUAACGAAGGACAAGGUGAAGUGGAUAAAGAAAUGAAUUCCAAAUUCCCAUGUGUUCUUCUAUCUGUUUACAUUUUCUCCUCCUAGUUUUGUUAUUUGAGAUAAUUUGGUACCGGAAUUGUGAUAUUGUUGAAGAAUUGAGCUUGUGGAUGCUGGUGUUGUGGCAAAAUCUAUCUGAAAAAUAUAAAAAUAUUGUGUACACGGACUUGAUUGAUAGAGAAACUAUUAUUCUACUCCACUCCUUAUCAUUAACUAUUUCUAGAAGGUUUGUUUUAGAAUAUUGUACCAAGAGGGAGUGAAGUGAUUUGAGAUUAUUUACUUGUUUUCAAGAAGAAAAUAUGUUCAUCAAGAGAUUAUUUGGAACUGAGUUGACUGAUCGAGGUUGGGCUGAUAUUUUGUAUAUUGAUCACAAUAUUCAAGCUAUUAUUUUCUGUUUUUGUUCUCUUUAUGUUCUUUAUUUUCUCUGUUUCUUAAUUAAAAUAUACAAACACGGUAUCUCUUUUUACCGUGUUGAAUUUAUGAUGUUGAAAUAUUUAUGAAGAUGUAAAGUUUGUUAAUUUGUUUGUAACCAAACAUCAAAAUAGAGUACCAAGUACCUAACCUUAUUUCAUUUAUUUGUUUAUGUAUUCAUUGUUUCUCAUUUGACAUGAAAAAAGGUUUGACUAACAUUAUAGUUCAGAGUAAUUGCAACUAGGAAGAAAGACUAAGAAAAGCAAUCUGAAUCAAAUCUUGAACGUGUGUCAUUUUAGUAAAAUUGCUAACCUGACAUACAAAAGAAGCAAGACAUAUCAGUUGGAAUUGCUGGUAUUUUUUGUCAACUUGGAGGAAAUUCUAUGACCAGUUGGAAUUAAAACCAAAAUGAGAUGGAAAAUAUAUAAUGUUUAUGUAUCCUUGCACUGCCUAUGUCCCUCUAAAGUUCUAGUUCUGAUGAAACUACGAACUUGAGAAUGAAAUUCGAACAACCAUAACUGUAAUAUCUUUUGUGUGCAUGCUUGUGUAUAAUUUAAGGAAUCGGUAAAUUUCAAUGGUAGCAAUCAGAAUUUUAAUUCAAGAAAAGAAUCAAUGAAGAUGAGGUUUAUCAGAAACCGUAUGAUGAUGAUCAAUAAGCCUUCUAUCAAGACAGUUCAGGUAAUUAAUUGCUUAUAUUUGCUUGACUUGAUUAUUUUUGCAUAAAGAAUCUAACUUAACAUUCUUGUUUAAUUUAUAGAAGGGACCAUUCCAAUUAGAAGAACAACAGAGCAAGAUUUUUUGAAGGCUAGUUCUAUACGAAGAUUCGGGAGAAAAAUACGAAGGCCUAUUCAAAGAGAUUCAUUUAGCAAUAGGCAUGAGAUUAGUCUAAUUGAUCGAACAUAGAGAUGAAAAAUGAUUUAUGUAGUCGACCUAACAUUUGGACAUCUAUUUUUGGCUUACAGCAUGCUAUAGGGUAUGUGAGUGGAAAUUAAUAUUAUGGAGCAAAAGCAAGUAUAAAUGUAUGGGUACUUCAAGGAUGAAAUGCUCGACUUCCUCACCAAGAGACGUAUCGACCUCAAGAUUUUAUUAUUGUCAAAAUAACAAAACUAUUUUAUUUGAUGGUGUGGUGUAUCAUCGUCAAAAUUUUAUUCCUAAUUUUGUUUCAUUUUGAAGCUCUUUUUUUUAUUUAUUUAGGUGGUGUUGUAUUACAUUCUAAUGAUCAAGUGUAUGGAUUAAAAAGUUUGUAAUGAAAUUAUCAAUUUUUAUGCAAUUCCAAAAUUUGUCA